ACCUACGGGGGGCAGCAGUAGGGAAUCUUCCCUAAUGGGCGAAAGCCUGAUGGAGCAACGCCGCGUGGGUGAAGAAGGUCUUCUGAUCGUAAAACCCUGUUGUUAGAGAAGAAAGUGCGUGAGAGUAACUGUUCACAUUUCGACGGUAUCUAACCAGAAAGCCACGGCUAACUACGUGCCAGCAGCCGCGGUAAUACGUAGGUGGCAAGCGUUAUCCGGAUUUAUUGGGCGUAAAGGGAACGCAGGCGGUCUUUUAAGUCUGAUGUGAAAGCCUUCGGCUUAACCGGAGUAGUGCAUUGGAAACU
rnacentral:rRNA from 1 species